UUAAAAAAAGAUAAUAAAAUAAAAUAUUUGCUUCGUUAUUUAUUGCAACUCAGUUUCAAACCCAAAACAGACGCUAUCCCUUUAAAAAAUUUGAAUUUUAAAAAUAUCAAAUUUGCUUCUUAUUUCCUCAAAUAUCAAUUCUCAAAAAAAAAAAAAAAAAAAAGAAAAGAGAGAGAAAUGUAUACCAGAGGUGAUUUGGUCGAAGUUUGCAGUAAAGAAAGUUGGUUUGGCGGAUCGCUUCAAUCGUAUCUCAAUUGAGGAAAGAUCGAAUCUUGUCGAUGGUGCAGACUGGGUUUCGACUCCCCAAACCCUCCUUCUUCCCAAAAGAUCACGACAACGGUGGCGAGGAAUGGGUUUGUCGGAUCAUACUAUGAAGCUUCAAUCGUAUCUCAACCACUAACAGGUUUGUCUUUCUACAAAAUUUUAAAAUUGAAGGAUUUAAUUUGGAGAACGAAGAAGGACUUCAAUAGCAAUAUUCGUUCUUAUGAAGAAGAAAGCUAAACAAGGUGCCUUUUUACCCCUCUAUUCAACUUCAUUCUUAACCAUUAUUAUUUUUCUGUUCUUGUCAAUUCCAUUUUGAGUUGGAGAUUUUAUUGUUUUUCAUUGUUUGUUAAUGUAAUUUUGAAGAAUCUCUUCACUUUAUGGUCAAGUAAGUAUCCACGAUUCUAUCUUCUUCUUCUUCUUUUCUUGCUUUAUUCGUUUGGUUAGAAAUGAUUUUGAUUAAUGUUUAGAUCAAACUUAUAAAGUUCAAAUUUUGCUAACACCCAUAAUAAAUAUUUCAUACCUAUUAAAUUCUUAUUAAUUUUCUUGAUUGUAUUUUUCUUUAUGUCUUCUUUAAUUAUUAAUUGUACAAUUUCUUUAUUUCAUUAAUUUGGUUUCCUGCAAUGAUUCUUCUUCUUCUUUUUUCUUCUUUUAAGAAAUUAAGAUUCAACUAUUACUACUUAGAAUAAUUUCACAAGAAUUGUGUACAUUCUUUCCUUUCUCUCUUCAUUGCAUAUUUUAUGUGUAAUUCUUUCUGGUUGUUCUUCAUUCCAAGAAUCGAUUUAUUUUGUUUUCUAAGAAAGUUAACUCACGAUUCCUCUGUUUUUUGCUGUCAUAUGUUACCUAUGGCUGAAAAAAGAGCUAAGACGACAUUGAUGAUGAUGGGUGAGGAGGAAGACAGAAUUUCGAAACUACCUGAUUCACUCAUUCUACAUAUUCUGUCCUUUCUUUCCACUAAGGAUGUCGUUUCAACAUGCCUCGUUUCCAAAUGCUGGAAACUCAUGUGGUAUUGUGUCCCCAAACUCUCUUUCUCCGAUUCUAAUUUGAAAAAUGACCCAAAAAAGUUUUACAAUUAUGUUGAUAAUUAUUUGGAAUACCACAAGAGAGGCAUGUAUUUUGUCCCGAAUUCAGCCAUAACUAGUUUUAAGCUUCGUAUAGCUUAUUCUUAUAGAUUAAGUGAGGUUUGUCACCUAGAUAAAUGGUUAAGUUUUGUAGCUGAGAAUAAAGUCAAGGAAAUAGAUAUUUUCGUGAAGAGCUUGAGGAAUAACAAUGGUGAUAUUUACUACUACACCAUACUUAAAACACUCAUAGUCAACUCAUGAUAUUUGACUAUAUUGAAUUUGAUUUGGUGGAGUUGGAUUCUCGUUACUCGUUUAGCUUUCCAUCUUUGAAAACAUUGUCAUUAUCUUAUGUUGGGCUUGUAGAUAAUGAUGUAAUAGAUAAGCUAUUGUUGGGUUUCCCUUCCCUUGAGAAAUUGCAAUUGUAUAAGUGUUGUUUAUCUAGUCAUCUUCGUGAUGAGCUCCACAUUUACAUACAACAUAGUUUAAGCCUCAAGGUUUCGGACAUCAUACUCACUAAUGAUUUGGUGGAAAAAAUUGGUGUCAUAAAUCUUGUUUCUUUAAUGCUAAUAGGUGUUUCCUUUGACAAAAUAAAACACUCUGCAUGCAAGGCAAUUAGAAUUCUCACAUUAAAUUGUUGUUGGGGUAUGGAAAGGUUGUCAUCAUUCGAAUAUUUCAUUUCUAACCUUCCUCUUCUUGAGAAAUUGACUUUGUGCAGCUUGCUUAAGUGGAAGUUAUAGCAUGUUGAAAUCUCGAAUCAACACUUGGAAGAACUCAUUGUUACUAACAGUUUCUGUGAUGAAAUGCCCUUUAUAAUUAAAUCAACUCCAAAAUUAAGGGUAUUUUCUUAUAGGAGUAAUAUCAAAUUGAAUGUAUCAAUGGAGUCGUCUAAAUUGUUGUCUUGAGAAUUUGUAAUGUUAAGGAGCUAGAGAACUAUGAUGCCGGUUGGUUUAUCAAUUUGAUGAUUUUUCUUUUGAAUCUCAAAGUGUUCUUGGAGAAGCAUAGAGAUUCAUGUUGAAGCAGAUGAGGCUCUUAUCUUUCCAGAGAACUUGAAGCGGGUAUGUCGUUCACCUUUGCUCGAUUGGAAAAAUCUUACAUGUUUUACUGAACGUAAAUUGAAGAAUGAAUCAAUAUUGAAAGAUGCUCUGCAAUGAAUUUCUCCUACAUUAUCCAUAAAGAAAGAGCAUCCUUAUUAUGAAAAGCAUGAAGAUUUGUUCUUGUGAUUAUUAUGUUAUCAAUGCCUUGUUACUUAAGUUAACUGAAAAUUCAAUAUUAUAUUCAUUAGCUUUCAUCAGGAAAGUUGAUGAAAAAUUGGUUUGUCAAAUGUUGGGGCAUUUCUUAGCUGUAUAAUGACUAUGAAUUCUUUUUUGUUGAUUAUAUUGUUAACGUAUAUUUGGUCC